AGGGAAGUUUUUAGCAUGUGCCGCACCGGGAACACCUUUAUAUAAUUUUUUUUUGUGAUCAUUACAUAAAAUGCAGGUUGCUGAAAGAUUUGAGAAGCUACGUAAAGAAGGUUGGAAACCGCGAAGAACGAUUAUCUUUUGCAAAAUUGGGAUGCAGAAGAAUAUGGAUUGAUUGGAUCGACGGAAUGGGUUGAAGAAAACAGAGAAAAGUUAGCAUCGAAAGUUGUUGCGUACAUAAAUGUCGACAUUGCGGUUGCUGAGGCAUCAGCCACUCCACAACUUGAUCAGUUAAUCACAUGAGUUACAAAACAGGUUCAAGAUCUAGACAACUCAUCACAAACGGUUUACGAUUCCUGGGUAAAAACUGCCAAUAUCCCGAGAUUUACGCACCAUCAAAGCACAACGAUUACGAGUCAAAAUGCUUCCCAGGGAUAGGGAUAGAUGAUGCUGUUGAAAAUGCAAAUAAACUCAACACUAAAGAAUCGUGGGGUGCGGCACAACAUGAAAUUUGGAGGCUGUAAAGCAAGAUUUUACUGUUGUGUGAAAGAGAGCAUGCUUGCUUCAGUCUCUACAAAUACUUCAUCAAGCUCAACACUCUACAAUCACUCAACUCAGACGAAUUAAACUUUCAAAUUAAUAUAUUGACUCUUUGCAUCUGGAUCUUGCGUUGUUUCUCGGCUCUCACAUCAAGGUUUCACAUUUUUUGUCGGCUUUUUACAUCUGCCUCUUGCAUUAUUGUAAGUUCUUCCAAAUUUCUUGGUUUU